rnacentral:rRNA from 1 species
UGGGGAAUUUUGGACAAUGGGGGCAACCCUGAUCCAGCAAUGCCGCGUGUGUGAAGAAGGCCUUCGGGUUGUAAAGCACUUUUGUCCGGAAAGAAAUCGCCCUGGCUAAUAUCCGGGGUGGAUGACGGUACUGGAAGAAUAAGCACCGGCUAACUACGUGCCAGCAGCCGCGGUAAUACGUAGGGUGCGAGCGUUAAUCGGAAUUACUGGGCGUAAAGCGUGCGCAGGCGGUUGUGCAAGACAGAUGUGAAAUCCCCCGGGGCUUAACCUGGGAAUGGCAUUUUGUGACUGCACGGCUAGAGUGUGUCAGAGGGGGGUAGAAUUCCACGUGUAGCAGUGAAAUGCGUAGAUAUGUGGAGGAACACCGAUGGCGAAGGCAGCCCCCUGGGAUAACACUGACGCUCAUGCACGAAAGCGUGGGGAGCAAACAGGAUUAGAUACCCUGGUAGUCCACGCCCUAAACGGUGUCAACUAGUUGUCGGGUCUUAAUUGACUUGGUAACGCAGCUAACGCGUGAAGUUGACCGCCUGGGGAGUACGGUCGCAAGAUUAAAACUUAAAGGAAUUUG